UACGUAGGGUGCAAGCGUUGUCCGGAAUUAUUGGGCGUAAAGAGCUCGUCGGCGGUCUGUCGCGUCGGCUGUGAAAACUCGGGGCUCAACUCCGAGCUUGCAGUCGAUACGGGCAGGCUAGAGUUCGGCAGGGGAGACUGGAAUUCCUGGUGUAGCGGUGAAAUGCGUAGAUAUCAGGAGGAAUACCGAUGGCGAAGGCAGGUCUCUGGGCUGACACUGACGCUCAUGCACGAAAGCGUGGGGAGCAAACAGG
rnacentral:rRNA from 1 species